rnacentral:lncRNA from 1 species
AACCAGCUGGCUGCAAAGGAAGCAGAAUCAUUGCAUUCGGGUGGUGGCAUUUAGACACUUAGCUCAAGCCAGCACAGAGGAAAGUCUGCUUGAGAGAAAUCAUCUGACCUGGCUCUGGAGAUAUUUCUGGAAAAAUGGCCAAGUUCCUACCAGUUCUGCUGUUUGCAUCCCAGCUUUCCUUGACAGCAGGUGAGAGUUUUCUGUAGGAUAUAUUGUCCAAUAAUAUUCUCAGAAUUGUCCAUCAAAUUUAGAACUUCAACUUUGUGCCAGAACUUUAUAAGAUGUUCAUUACUCCCUUAAAAACUCAGCUCAGGAGAACUGUUG